rnacentral:rRNA from 1 species
UACGUAGGGGGCAAGCGUUGUCCGGAAUUAUUGGGCGUAAAGAGCGUGUAGGCGGUUUGGUAGGUCCGCUGUGAAAACUCGAGGCUCAACCUCGAGACGCCGGUGGAAACCAUCAGACUAGAGUCCGGAAGAGGAGAGUGGAAUUCCUGGUGUAGCGGUGAAAUGCGCAGAUAUCAGGAAGAACACCCGUGGCUAAAGCGGCUCUCUAGUACGGUACUGACGCUGAGACGCGAAAGCGUGGGGAGCGAACAGG